AAGCGCUUGCAACCAGACUUGCACGUAGUUAAUCAACCGGUGUUCUCACUGGUGCACUUGAUUGCGUUCAGGCCAGCAUCGGUUUCGGUGGUUGGACAAAGGCCGGGGGAAUGUGGCUUCUUUCGGGGAGUGUUAUAGCCCUCGGUGCAAUGCAGCCUACCGGGACCGAGGACCGCGCUUCGGCUAGGAUGCUGGCGUAAUGGUUGUAAGCGA
rnacentral:rRNA from 1 species